CAAUAACCAAGACACUGAAGAAGUUUCGAAGUUCAUAUACUUAUAUACAAAUAAUUGAAUGCAUCAUUUUUUUACCACUAGAAUAAGCUUCAUAAAUUUCAACAAUAUCUCUUUCGAUUAACUUUCAAAUCCAACCUGUAUAAUGGAAAAAUUAAUGAAGUGAACAACAGUUUUCGUUUGCCUUUGCAAGCGGUUCCAUGGAGAAAUAUCGGAACAUAUUUCUUGGAGGUAUGCUUACAUGUUUCAACUUUUUCAUGUUGUUAAUUUUCCGUUCGGCAGUAAAAAAUUCCUACAUUUUCAUGAGUUGUCGAUUCUCAUUGCUGCUUUUCUCUCACAAUCAACCCUUUUUAAGCAACAGAAGAUUGAUCGUUUUCAAUAAUCAUUACCGAAAUAUUCGAGAGAUUUUCCUGCCUUAACCAUAGGAGUUUCUGAAACUAACGCAAAAGAAUUUUCAAGUUCAGUUGUAACUUCUGCACGAGAGAGACGGGAAGAUGGAAUUGGUGGCGGCUGAGGAGGUUCCAGCCGGAGGGUUUCGCCAUUAGAUGUGGAUGUCUCUCCAUUGGAGGGACAGUUCCAGUGAAAGUGAUGAUCAUAAGGUUUUACAGAGUGCAUGUUCAUAAUGUUUACUUGUAAGUAGAUAAGUUAAUUAUUUUCAUUUAUUUUUUAUUUUUUAUUUU
rnacentral:lncRNA from 1 species